rnacentral:rRNA from 1 species
CGUAGGCGGUUUGAUAAGUCAGAUGUGAAAGCCCACGGCUUAACUGUGGAAGUGCAUUUGAAACUGUCAGACUUGAGUAUCAGAGGGGAAAGUGGAAUUCCCGGUGUAGAGGUGAAAUUCGUAGAUAUCGGGAGGAAUACCGGUGGCGAAGGCGACUUUCUGGCUGAAUACUGACGCUGAGGCGCGAAAGCGUGGGGAGCAAACA